rnacentral:rRNA from 1 species
UACAGGACGAAUUUAAUUUUGGUUCCGAUUGAACGUUUUUCAGUAGUUUUAAGACAUGCAAAUCAUUGUUCUGAAAAUUUUUAAUUUUAAAAUUAACGUUUAAAACUUAAAAAAAUAUGAAUAAGGUGUAAAGGUGAGUAAUGAUAAAUUAGAUACCUUAUAGACUCUCUAAAUAGGAGAUAAAUACUACUCUAUUAUAAUUCUCCAUUCUGAAUUAAAUUUUAGGAUGUGAUUUAAUAUUGCUUUAUUAAUUUGAAUUAUAAAGAGGUUCUUUUUUAUUACAUAAUAUAAUAAAAUAGUGAAAGUAUUGAUAAAAAAGCUAAUUUAUUAAAGAAAGGAAAUUUUCCGCUAUAAGAUUCGAUUUAUUUUGUUUAGGUAGUUGGUAGGGUAAAAGCCUACCAAGCCGACGAUCAAUAGCCAAGUUUGACAGAACAAAUGGCCACAUUGGGAAUGAAAUGCCCCAAGUAGUGUUAACUACCAGCAGUCGAGAAUAUUAGUCAAUGCUCGAAAGAGUGAACUAGCUAACUGAAAUCACAUGACUCAUUCUUAUAGGUGGUGAAUGUGAUAAGGUGUAGGGAAAAAAAUGAUAUUACCUCACUAAAAGUGUUGUCCAAAUCUGGUGCCAGAAGACUCGGUAAGACCAGAAACGCAAACGUUAGUCAUCUUAAUCAGGCGUAAAGGGUAUGUAGGCAGCUUUGAAAGUUUUAUUUUUAUACAAAGGCUCUAUUUAAAUUAAAAAAAAAAUAGUGAAAAUAAAAUAAAUUAAAGCUAGAAUCAAAUAGAGGAAAAACCAAAUAAUACUUAGAGUAGGGAUGAUAUCCAUAGAUACUAAGGGGAAUACUAAGGGCGAAAGCUUUUUUUCUACUAAUGAUUGACGCUGAGAAACGAAGGUGAGAAUAGGAAAUAGGAUUAGAUACCCAGAUACCUCUCACUGUCAACGAUGAAUGGUGGUUGUUAGUUUUAAUAAAAACUGGUGACGAUGUUAACACGAUAACCAUUCCGCCUUGCGAGUACGGUUGCAAAACUGAAACCAAAAAAAUUAGUCGGUCUCGAAGCAAACGAAGUGAAGCAUGUUAUUUAAUACGACAAUACGCGUAAAACCUUACCAGACCUUGCAUAUCUAGCGACCUUUAGCUGCACAAUUAAAUAUUUUACUUUAAAAUUUAAAAUUUAUUUUUAUUAACCAAAGUGAAAUUGCCCUUUAAUUUUUUAUUGUCUUGAAAAAGAUAAGGAAAAUAAAAAGGAUAAGAAAACAAGGAAAAUUAAAAUAGUUUAAAGUUAAAAUAGAAUAGGUAAUACAAGUGGGGCUAGGGAGAGUGAGUAUAUUUUUAAAUUUUAAUUAUUUAAUUAAUCUUAAAUAUUAUUUUUGAAAAUAAUACGCAGAUACAGGUGUUGCAUGGCUGUCGUCAGUCCGUGUUGUGAAGAGUGAGGUUAACUCCACUAACGGACGCAAUCCCUGUUGUUAAUUUAUACUUAACAAUUAAUGAUUCUGAUAGAGUUUCAUUUGGGGCUAAGACAAGCCGUUAUGGCCCUAAUGGUCUGGGCUAUAGACGUGCCACAUAAACUUUUACAAAGUGAUGCAAAACUUUACCUACUCUAAUUUUAUUAGAAGGUAAUAAGGAAAAGCUAAUCAUUAAAAAAAGUUCAUAUAUUAAAUUAUAGACGGAUUGUCGCCUGCAAUUCGGCGACAUGAAGAAGGAAUUUCGAGUAAUCGUUGAUCACUACGCAACGGUGAAGAUAGCAUUCGUGAUGAACUAACUGUCUGUCGCUGGGAAGAAGCUUAACUUGGGGGAAACUGCUACAAAAAUAAAACUUUAACUUAAUUAUGCCUUUCUUUAAUAAUAACAAUUAUUUUAGAAAAUUAAAUUAUUUAAUUUUUGGUUAGUUUUGAAUUACAUAUUCUUGUAUUUAGUUAUAAGAAGUAGUAAUUUUAUUUAAAAACAUUUAUGUUAAGAUAUUUAGUAUCUGUUAACCCAUUUAAGUAACAUCUCAAAAGUCAUAGCAAGGUAGCUGUACUGGAAAGUGCAGCUGGAAAAUAAAAAAU